CCUGUCUCUACAUGGUGCAGGUGUGGCUGCUGUGUCACAGUGCAUCAGUCGGGGGCAGAGAGGAGAGAGGUUAUGUCUGCUUGGCGUUCUGACUUAUGGACAACUGAAUGAUUGGUAGCCUAGUAUU
ensembl:snoRNA